ACAGCAUUUAACGAGGUUCGGCUAUGCCUACGUCCUCGGAGAGCAGCAGCAGUAACUUUUCACUAUAUAAAAUAAUAUGGCUACAACUUUAGUGUUUACAACAUGUGUGGCUCACUGAAUUUUCUCUCUAGGAGAAUUUCUCUCUGCUCUCUCUUUCCUCUUUCUUCCUUCUCUUCCUCUUGUCUCUUUCCUUUUCUCUCUUUCCUCUUCUCUCUUUCCUCUCUUCUCUUUCCUCUCUUUGUUUCUUUCCAUUUCCCUUUCUCUUCUUUUCUCUUUUCCCUUCUUUCUUUCCUCUUUUCUCUUCUCUUCUAUCU
rnacentral:lncRNA from 1 species